GCCGUUAAUGACGCUCAUGCACGAAAGUGCGGGGAUCGAACAGGAUUAGAUACCCUGGUAGUCCGCACAGUAAACGAUGAAUACUUGCUUUCGGCGAUACAGUGUCGGAGGCAAAGCGAAAGCGAUAAGUAUUCCACCUGGGGAGUACGCCGGCAACGGUGAAACUCAAAGGAAUUGACGGGGGCCCGCACAAGCGGAGGAACAUGUGGUUUAAUUCGAUGCUACGCGAGGAACCUUACCCGGGCUUGAAAGUUAGCGACGGCGGAUGAAAGUCUGCUUCCCUUCGGGGCGCGAAACUAGGUGCUGCAUGGUUGUCGUCAGCUCGUGCCGUGAGGUGUCGGCUUAAGUGCCAUAACGAGCGCAACCCUUUUCUCCAGUUGCCAUCGGUUCGGCCGGGGACUCUGGAGACACUGCCAUCGCAAGAUGUGAGGAAGGAUGGGAUGACGUCAAAUCAGCACGGCCCUUACGUCCGGGGCGACACACGUGUUACAAUGGGAGGGACAGAAAGCUGCGAAGUGGUGACACCGAGCCAAUCUCCAAACCUUCUCCCAGUUCGGAUCGGAGUCUGCAACCCGACUCCGUGAAGCUGGAUUCGCUAGU
rnacentral:rRNA from 1 species